UGUAAAGUGAGGAGGCUGAGCUACAUGGCAUCUGACUUACUCCCAACCUGACUGCUGUUUACUCUGCAACCAUGUACUCCAUCCUCCCCACAACUGUCAGAAAAGCCUCUCUGAAGACUGAGAGGCUACCUGUGGCACAGGCCACCUCAGCGUUGAGCUUCAGCCUGGGAAGGAAAGUGUGGAUCCUGAAGACGAAACAGAGGAGUACCCAGACUAGCGGACUGCCAAGAAAAAUUAAUGACAAGCAGUUCAAGCUAAAACCAAGGAGGUGCUAUGUGACCAGGCAGCCCCAAAGAGGCUGUGCCCUCAGGAAGUUCAGCUCAGCAGGAGCAGGCUCUCCAGGAGAGCCUUCAGGCCUCCCAGGAAGAUGAGCAUUAGCCCCAAAAGCAUAAAGUUUGCCCUAUGUUUGCCAGGAACUCAUUUCCAAGAAUGUGUGUGCCAUGCAUAGCCAACAGUUUCCUGCUUUACUCCUCAGUUGUCUGCCUUUUUGCCCACUGGUACUUCUGUGUCUGCUGGCCUCUGGCUGAAGUUUCCCUUUGAAAGCCAGACUACAGAAAAACAUGGAAGGAAAGUGUUGGACUCUGGUUGCCAAGGGCUCACUGGCUGUGCCACUUAAGAAGUUCCUCACUUCUGAGCAGAAUCAGAGCGCUGGAUCCCACUUCAAGGCACCUGCCCAGCCUGCCUUCCAGCAGGUCUUAGCAACAUGCUGAGUUGACUGACAUGCCAAGAGAUGGAAUCCACACAAGGCAGUGGUCUGUGAUGAAUGUUCAUUCAUUGAAUGGUCUUUCUUAGUUUUGUCUUUCCACAUGGAAAAUGGGGGCGGGGGGCAGGGGGAACGGUACCAAGAGCUCAUCUGGCUCUGCCGCCACCAUCAAUGUGUACCCAGCUUCCAAAUUCUCCAGCAACAGCUGUAUUCCUUCACCUGGUCUGAUUCUCGACUCCCAACAUGCCCCAGUUUUUGUUUCUCCCUCGCCUUCUGGAGCUGAGUCCUGCCUCAGUUUCUCCAAUCUCCCCAGAGCCCUGAAUCUAAGGCAUUCCCUAGGCACAGCCUAUGCACGACUCGCCUCCCCGGCCGUAGUCCCACCUCCUCCCGCCGCCUGGCUCCUACUUGCAGAUGGUUCCAGCGCUGGUUAUUAUUUAAACGAGCUGCUCCUGGCUCACAUGUUAAUUAAAACCCGCUGUCCAAAAUCUCCUGGUACAAUUUGCAGUGUAAUCUGUAGCCUCUAGUGCAUCAUUGUAUCUCUAUUAAAAGGGAUUCUCUGUAA